rnacentral:rRNA from 1 species
AUUCCAGCUCCAAUAGCGUAUGUUAAAGUUGUUGCGGCUAGAAAGCUCGUAGUUGGAUUUCUGUUGAGGACAUCUGGUCCGCUCUACGAGCGUGUAUCUAGUUUGGCCUCGGCAUCCGCUCUGCAUACGUUUCUGCGCUUGAUUGCGUGGAGCGGAGGUAGGGCCUUUUACUUUGAGGAAAUUAGAGUGUUCACGGCAGGCAGUCGCCCUGAAUAUAUUAGCAUGGAAUAAUAACAUAGGAUCUUGGUUCUAUUUUGUUGGUUUCUAGGACUAAGAUAAUGAUUAAUAGGGACAAUUGGGGGCAUUCGUAUUGCGGUGUCAGAGGUGGAAUUCUUAGAUUACUGCACGACGAACUACUGCGAAAGCAUUUGCCAAGGAUGUUUUCAUUG